rnacentral:rRNA from 1 species
UACAGAGGUCUCGAGCGUUGUUCGGAUUCAUUGGGCGUAAAGGGUGCGUAGGUGGCUAGGUAAGUCGGAUGUGAAAUCCCGGGGCUCAACCCCGGAACUGCAUUCGAAACUGGCAGGCUCGAGUACGGGAGAGGGGGGUGGAAUUCCUGGUGUAGGGGUGAAAUUCGUUGAUAUCAGGAGGAACACCGGCGGCGAAGGCGGGUCUCUGGGCCGAUACUGACGCUGAGGAGCGAAAGCGUGGGGAGCGAACAGG